CAAAGAUCUAACCCAUAUCCGUGUGAUAGCGAUUUCAAUACCAAAGUGCUGGGAUCACAGGCGUGAGCCACCGCGCCCGGCCUAGUAUAUUCUUUAAGGUAGCACCUGGUACUUAGUGUUAUCUCCCCCAGCAUUAGAAUGCAUGUAUUCACGAAAAAAGGGGUGAAGUGGGAAUGACCGCUCUCAUUAUUUUACUUAAUAAUCCACUUGAGGAAUAUCUGUUUUCCAUCGUUGCAGCCAUUUACUCAGUAGAUUUGGGUUCUAAUGCCCAAGAAAGAAUGAUUCCACUGAG
rnacentral:lncRNA from 10 species